UGGGGAAUCGUCUAAUGGUAGGACGACGGGUUUUGGUCCCGUUAAUCUAGGUCCGAGUCCUAGUUCCCCAGCCA
rnacentral:tRNA from 1 species